ensembl:lncRNA
CAGGCUUGAUGCUCCCCAUUGAUCAUCAUCUCAAAGGCUGGUAGUGAUUUUUGCAGGCAGUCCUUAGAGAUAACAGUUAUGUCCUACUGUUAUAUCCAAUGACGCAAAUACAAAACAAAGCAGGCAUUGCAUGGACGUGAGGGCAAAGCAUAAUCACACACACACAGCUUUCUUCCAUCCUGUCAAAGGGUAUUUGUAAGUCACCUGAAGCAUAUUAAAGCAAUUUAAGGAGAGAAACCAAUCACUGAACUCAAUGUCAUUCAAUGUCUCAUGGAGAAUCAGCUCUGUGAAAAAAAAAAAAAAAAAAAACACCUGACAUUCAACCAGCAGUCCAGACAGCCUACAGUACAGCAGUACCUUAAUGACAAAAGAUGCAAUUUUGCAAUCUUCCAAGGCCUCCAUCUGCCACCCCAAGGACUGAUGGGACGCAUAGUGACAUGGUCACCUCCUAAGGCACAUCCGUCUCUCGAGUGCGACAGCCUGUCAAUAUGACUCGAACCAGCUGUCAAUCAAGCUGUCACCCAUCCAGACAUGCAGACACUGUAUUGAAGAAGGGUAGAAACUGAUGAGCGAUGGGGAGUUUGUGUCUCAGGCUGUGAUAAUGAUAACAAGGAUUUUGGGAAGUAUGAUACAUGGAGCAAACAGUUUAGACAUCUGCCCAGCUAAAUUAUAGUUAUUGUCUUGACUGUUAACGAAUAAUACAAGUACAACCAUUAGGGAAAAACUACAAUAGAUUGUAAUGCAUAUUUUUCACAAUAUUUAAUGCAGAAAGCUUUGAGUUUAAUGAGCUAUUAAACGAAUGAAUUAAUAGUCAUAUACUGAAUUCUAAUUGACUGACUAAUCCUUCAUGCUAUAAUUGAGAUAGUUGCAGCUUUCAAGUAACAAACACAAAUUGUUCAUUUUUAGGCUGAUUGUGAUCCCUGUUCUCAAUACAUCCCUGUCCAUACACAAACACAAUCACAUAAGAAACAUCCCAAAAACACAGUGAAGCUUAACAGCUGGGUUCUGGGAGUAAAAAUC